UCGUUAGUGAUAUUACUUAGCUUCCUUAAGAUUUAUCGGACUGUCUUUAUGUUUAUUCUGCUCUGCCUGGCAUUCUACGAAAUCUACUGUAUUCUUUGCAACGGGUAUACGCUUAGUUGCCUAGUUGGUGAUUGCAUCUUCGCUUACUUGAUUAAUAUUUAUAGAACCCAGUGGAUGAAAUAGGUGUAUUGCGUUUAGUUCGUGAUUAUGAUAGCAUGGUUAGCCUUCGCUUAGUCGGUUAGCUGUGUUGGAUUAGAGGUUAGAG
rnacentral:lncRNA from 1 species